rnacentral:lncRNA from 1 species
CCAUGCAUCCAAACUCGUAGGAAUGUCCAUCACUUAGCACAUCCUUCAACUCAGUUCUUGGCCGGAGGGUGGUAGAUCGGAGUCGGGGACCCAUACGUGGGCGUGGGUGAACUGUAUUUAGGCGUUGGGGGGUGGUAUUCUGGCUGAGGUUUGGGCUCCGGCUUUGGCUUAGGAGGCACUGGUUUCUUGUGGAAGUGGUCAAAGAAGUGGUGGUGCUCAUGAUCCUUGUGGAAGUGGUCAAGCCAGUGCUUCUUGUUGAACAAGUCUUUAGCAGGAGGAUGGUAGAUUGGAGUAGGAGACCCAUAUGUAGGUGUUGGGGGGUGGUACUCUGGCUGCGGCUUGGGCUCUGGCUUCGGUGGAACAGGCUUCUUGUGGAAGUGGUCGAAGAGUUGGUGGUGGUCGUGGUCCUUGUGGAAGUGACCAAGCAACUUGGCAAACAAGUGCCUAGCUGGAGGGUGGUAGAUUGGUGUAGGAGACCCGUAUGUGGGUGUUGGCGACCCAUAUGUUGGCGUUGGGGGAUGGUACUCUGGCUGAGGCUUGGGCUCUGGUUUGGGCUGCGGCUUAGGUUCCGGCUUCGGCUUUGGCGGUAUGGGCUUCUUGUGGAAGUGGUCGAAGAAGUGGUGGUGAUCGUGGUCCUUGUGGAAGUGACCAAGCAACUUGGCAAACAAGUGCCUAGCUGGAGGGUGGUAGAUCGGUGUCGGAGACCCGUAUGUUGGUGUUGGGGGAUGGUACUCUGGCUGAGGCUUAGGCUCUGGCUUCGGCUGCGGCUUAGGUUCCGGCUUCGGCUUCGGCGGCAUGGGCUUCUUGUGGAAAUGGUCAAAGAAGUGGUGGUGGUCGUGGUUCUUAUGGAAGUGAUCAAACAAGUGCUUCUUGUCGAACAACUGCCUUGCUGGAGGAUGGUAGAUCGGAGUUGGGGAUCCAUAUGUGGGCAUUGGUGAUCCAUACGUCGGUGUUGGGGGGUGGUACUCUGGCUGCGGCUUGGGUUCAGGUUUCGGUUGCGGCUUAGGUUCGGGCUUCGGCUUCGGCGGUACGGGCUUCUUCUUGUGGAAGUGGUCGAGGAAGUGCUUCUUGAUAGGGCCGCAGAUGGUGACCGACGCGCAUUCUGCCGAUGGGUUGUUUGUCUUGCCAGGGACCACGACGAAGUCGCUCUCGGACU